CCCCGGGGCAAGGAGGGGAGGCCAGGCAGCCGGAAGGAAACUCCUGAGCUUUUUACGGAAUGCACAAGACAAAAGAGUGCUGCUUGCUCUGCAGCUGGUCCAAGAAGCUUCACCUCCCAGGAGCACCAGACAGAUGAUCUCCUGUUUACAGUGGUUCCAGGAGCACCAACCCCAAGGAUGAGUUAUAAGCAGGUCUCUAAAGAGAUUUUAGGAGAAGCUGCUAAAAUGGUGGCAAAGCUCUUUAGAAACAUAGAAGUAUGAACCUUUUUAUGGGGAGAACUUAUAAGAGUUUGGAGAGGUCUUCCAGGUCCACACAACCUCCCUGGAAAUGGCAAGGAGUUAUAAUUUCCAUUUUACAGAUGAAAAAUGAAAAAGAGGAGAAGGGGAUGCCAUUUGCUCAAGGCUGCUGGAACGCUAGGCUGGCUCUGGGACUAUCACGAAAAGUUUCUAACCCCCCGCCACGGCUCUUCUCACAACACAAGAAUGAGCUCAGAGAGGUUAAUGAACCUGCCAAAGACCCCAGCUGAGAGACUGAGUUGGUUUGCAGAUUCCAAAGCCCACAUUCAUUCCAUUUUAUCUCAUCUUUAGUGGACUUUGAACAUGCCUCAGCCUUCACCUUGACCCUUGGUGAAGGUGCUGAGAACCAAGACCCAGUGCAGCGGUGUCUCUGGAACCUCCUGGAGCUCAGCAGCCGACUCCCAAACCUGGAGGUCCUCACUCUGCACCCUGUGCUCUGCCCUCUGGCUGAUCCUCAGCAUUCCCAGGCAGCCUGGCUCCCUGUAAAGUUGUUUAAACUUCUGUUUAUCAUCAUCUUCCAUCAUUUCUAAUUGUUUUCCUGUGUCCCUUUCUUUUGUAGAGGAUAUAAACUCAGCAUUUUAGCUUUUGAAAUAGAUUUGCUGUGCAGUUUCAUGGCUCUUUAGUGGCUUAAAAUGUAUUGUUCUGUGAGUCUUUCUGUGCCCGUCACAGCAUUCACUGUGGGAAGCAGCAGGACGCCAGCGAUGCUGAUGUUUAUUUGAUUUUAGGGGACUUUAAGGCAUUCCUGGGACCAUACGGAUUCUAAAUAUUCUGCCUCAUUGUCUUCAGAAGCUACUAAAAUAUCCUAGAAAUGAUCAUGUUUCAGCAUGUAAGCUACAUAUUUCACGUUACCUCUUGUAUCCAUCCAUACAUAGCCUCUAUCAAGAGCCUGGCAUAAGCCAAUGUAAUGGUUCUGAAAUGGUAACCACAUGGUUCUUCAAUCACUAAAACCCUUUCCACUCUGAGAUUGGACAUUCAUUGCUAUUUUCUGCCAGGGCUUUGAUUUACAAGACUGUCUAUGAGUUCUGUGUUUAAUAUACAGAACUGGCUGCCCUCAAUGCAUGAGACUUCCUGGUAUUUUUUUCAUGUGAUUAGAUGGAUUACAUUUGUUUCAUAUUUAUUGUUUAGAUAUACAAGUAAUCCUCACUUUGCACAGUGUCAUGUCUGCAUAUUGAAACCCUAUACUCACUUUGUGCAAUCCUUUGGUAAGUGCAAAGUGAGAACACAGGUCUGAUAUGUACAAGUUUCAGUGAACAUGGUACUAUGCAUCAUGAAGACUAUCUGAAGUUGCUUUCAAAUAAAAUUUGGAUAAGGACUGUAA
rnacentral:lncRNA from 10 species